rnacentral:rRNA from 1 species
GCUUAACCGAAGAAGUGCAUCGGAAACUGGGUGACUUGAGUGCAGAAGAGGACAGUGGAACUCCAUGUGUAGCGGUGGAAUGCGUAGAUAUAUGGAAGAACACCAGUGGCGAAGGCGGCUGUCUGGUCUGCAACUGACGCUGAGGCUCGAAAGCAUGGGUAGCGAACAGGAUUAGAUACCCUGGUAGUCCAUGCCGUAAACGAUGAGUGCUAGGUGUUGGAGGGUUUCCGCCCUUCAGUGCCGGAGCUAACGCAUUAAGCACUCCGCCUGGGGAGUACGACCGCAAGGUUGAAACUCAAAGGAAUUGACGGGGGCCCACACAAGCGGUGGAGCAUGUGGUUUAAUUCGAAGCUACGCGAAGAACCUUACCAGGUCUUGACAUCUUGCGCUAACCUAAGAGAUUAGGCGUUCCCUUCGGGGACGCAAUGACAGGUGGUGCAUGGUCGUCGUCAGCUCGUGUCGUGAGAUGUUGGGUUAAGUCCCGCAACGAGCGCAACCCUUGUUACUAGUUGCCAGCAUUCAGUUGGGCACUCUAGUGAGACUGCCGGUGACAAACCGGAGGAAGGUGGGGAUGACGUCAGAUCAUCAUGCCCCUUAUGACCUGGGCUACACACGUGCUACAAUGGUCGGUACAACG